UUGAUCCUGGCUCAGAAUCAACGCUGGCGGCGUGCCUAAUACAUGCAAGUCGAACGCGAAAGUCCCGCAAGGGAUAAGUAGAGUGGCAAACGGGUGAGUUACGCGUGGGUGACCUACCUUCGAGUGGGGGAUAACGUUCCGAAAGGGACUCUAAUACCGCAUAACAUCCUGCCUUUUAAGAGGUGGAGAGCAAAGCUGGUGAUCGCAAGACCUAGCGCUUGGAGAGGGGCCCGCGUCCGAUUAGCUAGUUGGUGAGGUAAUGGCUCACCAAGGCUACGAUCGGUAGCCGGCCUGAGAGGUCGGACGGCCACACUGGGACUGAGACACGGCCCAGACUCCUACGGGAGGCUGCAGUAGGGAAUUGUUCGCAAUGGGCGCAAGCCUGACGACGCAACGCCGUGUGGAGGAUGAAGACCUUCGGGUCGUAAACUCCUUUCGAUCGAGACGAAUAGCCUUCGGGUGAACAAUCCGGAGGAAUGACGGUACCGAGAGAAGAAGCUCCGGCUAACUCCGUGCCAGCAGCCGCGGUAAUAAGGU
rnacentral:rRNA from 1 species